CGCGUAGGUGGUAGUGUAAGUCUGAGGUGGAAUCCCAGGGCUUAACCCUGGAACUGCCUUGGAAACUGCAUUACUUGAGUCAGUGAGGGGAGGGUAGAAUUCCUGGUGUAGCGGUGAAAUGCGUAGAUAUCAGGAGGAAGGCCUGUGGCGAAGGCGGCCCUCUGGUGCUGGACUGACACUGAGGCGCGAAAGCGUGGGGAGCAAACAGGAUUAGAUACCCUGGUAGUCCACGCCCUAAACGGUGGGCACUAGGUGUAGGGCUCGUAAGGGUUCUGUGCCGAAGGGAACCAUUAAGUGCCCCGCUGGGGAGUACGGCCGCAAGGUUGAA
rnacentral:rRNA from 1 species